rnacentral:rRNA from 1 species
UACAGAGGGUGCGAGCGUUAAUCGGAAUUACUGGGCGUAAAGCGCGCGUAGGCGGCUUUGCAAGUCGGGUGUGAAAUCCCCAGGCUUAACCUGGGAACUGCAUUCGAGACUGCAUUGCUAGAGUAUGGGAGAGGGAAGUGGAAUUUCCGGUGUAGCGGUGAAAUGCGUAGAUAUCGGAAGGAACAUCAGUGGCGAAAGCGACUUCCUGGACAACACCUGACACUGAGGCACGAAAGCUAGGGGAGCAAACAGG